GAUUGCCUUAGUAACGGCGAGUGAAGCGGCAACGGUUCAAAUUUGUAAUCUGGCUCCUGACGGGGUCCGAGUUGUAAUCUAUAGAGGGUGCUUCGGCGUCGGUCCUGGGGCAAGUCCCUUGGAACGGGGCGUCCUAGAGGGUGAGAGCCCCGUACUCACCCGGGUGUCCUUCGCCUCGUGAAGUCCCUUCGAAGAGUCGAGUUGUUUGGGAAUGCAGCUCCAAGCGGGAGGUAAAUUCCUUCUAAAGCUAAAUACCGGCUAGAGACCGAUAGCGCACAAGUAGAGUGAUCGAAAGAUGAAAAGCACUUUGGAAAGAGAGUUAAAAAGCACGUGAAAUUGUUGAAAGGGAAGCUCUUGCCGCCAGACUUGCCGCGGUGGCUCGGCCGCUCCCCCCAGGGACGGUGUAUUCCUCCGCCGGCAGGCCAGCGUCGGUUCGGGCGGCCGGAUAAAGGCCCCGGGAAUGUGGCACCCUCCGGGGUGUGUUAUAGCCCGGGGUGCAAUGCGGCCAGCCCGGUCCGAGGGACGCGUUCGCGAGGACGCUGGCGUAAUGGCCGCAAGCGACCCGUCUUGAAACACGGACCAAGGAGUCUAACAUCUGUGCGAGUGUUUGGGUGUCAAACCCAUGCGCGUAAUGAAAGUGAACGGAGGUGGGAACCCCCCUGAGGGGCGCACCAUCGACCGAUCCUGAUGUCUUCGGAUGGAUUUGAGUAAGAGCACCGCUGUUGGGACCCGAAAGAUGGUGAACUAUUCCCGGAUAGGGUGAAGCCAGAGGAAACUCUGGUGGAGGCUCGCAGCGGUUCUGACGUGCAAAUCGAUCGUCAAAUCUAGGAAUAGGGGCGAAAGACUAAUCGAACC
rnacentral:rRNA from 1 species